AACACAUUUUAUUUCUUACAUUCAUAUAAUAAAUAUAUUAUAAUUUAUUAUAAGUAUUUAUUGUUUAACAAUUUUGUGUACAGUUUGAUACAUUGAAUAAUCUAUAUAUCUAGUGAUUUUUCUAACCUUAAUGUCGUAUGAUUGAAUGAUACUGAUCAAGUCAAGACCGGUCAAAGACAUUUCGAUAGAUCACUAACACCAUACGUGCAAUCCAAUGACUGAAACGCCACGAGUAUCAUACGCUUAAUUUUAU